ACUUAUAUAAUAUAUUCAGUAUAUUUGACUUCCAAUCAAAAAGUUUAUUAUUUAAUAUAAGUA
rnacentral:tRNA from 1 species